rnacentral:rRNA from 1 species
UACGUAGGCAGCGAGCGUUGUUCGGAGUUACUGGGCGUAAAGAGCUCGUAGGCGGUUUGUCGCGUCUGCCGUGAAAGUCCGGGGCUCAACUCCGGAUCUGCGGUGGGUACGGGCAGACUAGAGUGAUGUAGGGGAGACUGGAAUUCCUGGUGUAGCGGUGAAAUGCGCAGAUAUCAGGAGGAACACCGAUGGCGAAGGCAGGUCUCUGGGCAUUAACUGACGCUGAGGAGCGAAAGCAUGGGGAGCGAACAGG